CUUGCUACCUUUUGCUUAUGAUGUGCUAAUGAUUUCUACAUAUUCAAAAUAGCAUUUACUCUUGAGUUAUAUCUGUUACAGUAAGUAGUAACAGGAUCAGGUGUGAGUUAAAAAAACCCUUAUGGUGUUAAUUAUUAUGAACAGCUGCUGAUGUAGGUCAGCAAGCAAGCUUGGACCACACCCGGUGGGGUAUAACUGUAUGAGUUUUUAGAAUACAGUUGGUGAUGGUGAUGCUGAAUGUGCAAUGACUGACCAGCAAUGCUCUUUGCUAUGAAGAACUGUACUUCAGCCAUUCCAGUUUUUAGAGCCAGAAGCUGACAAAGAGCUUAGAACAGUGUGGCCCAAGUGCUGCAGACUAUUUGUGCACACUCCUACAGGCUGUUUUUGUGUGUCCUCAAGGAUGAGCAUACUCUUCUUCUACUUGGAAGAGGAAGACAAUUUGCCUCAAAAUAGCCAACAGGAUGGUGCUGAGCCAUCUUUCUCUUAACU
rnacentral:lncRNA from 1 species